rnacentral:rRNA from 1 species
ACUCCUACGGGAGGCAGCAGUGGGGAAUAUUGGACAAUGGGCGAAAGCCUGAUCCAGCAAUGCCGCGUGAGUGAUGAAGGCCUUAGGGUUGUAAAGCUCUUUUACCGGGAAGAUAAUGACUGUACCGGGAGAAUAACGCCCCGGCUAACUCCGUGCCAGCAGCCGCGGUAAUACGGAGGGGCUAGCGUUGUUCGGAAUUACUGGGCGUAAAGUGCACGUAGGCGGCUUUGUAAGUCAGAGGUGAAAGCCUGGAGCUCAACUCCAGAACUGCCUUUGAGACUGCAUCGCUUGAAUCCAGGAGAGGUGAGUGGAAUUCCGAGUGUAGAGGUGAAAU